rnacentral:lncRNA from 1 species
UAUAACUAGGCAAGAAUUAACUAAAUUGAUCCUAGAUUCUAGCAAUAAUCAUCUAUUUAGCAUGCUAGAAUAGCUUUAAAUCCAUUCUUGAAGCUUAAAACCCAAACUACAAAGAGAUACCAUAAAAGGGUUUUGAAGCUUACCUUCAAACCUUGCUCCAAUGGAGAGGAAGAAGAUGGAGAAGAUGGAAAUCCACCUUAGAGCUUCGAUCUCCACCAAAAUCAUCUCUUUUUGGGAGAGAUUUAGAGAGAGAAAGGAGAGUUUCUCUCUCUCCCUUCCAUGCGUGUGUGAGUGUGUGUAUGUGGCGCAUGUGUGUGUGCUGCACGGUUGAGGGAGGAAGGAGAAGAAGGGAUUAAUCCCUUUUUACAAGUUAGUCCCUCAACUUUACACUAUUCACAUCAGUUAGCAGUUCGGAACAGUUGGAGCCCUUCUGAAUGUCCGUUUGAGCUCAAAUUUGACAGGCAGUCUCGGUUUAACGUACUGAGUAAGAAUAUGUCUUAAGUUUUCAGUUUCGACCCCGUUUGGUCACCGAAAACUGUGCCGAACUGUAAUCUUAAUCAGAUAACUUUCGGAUUUUAUUUCUCACUCUACGGGUGUCAGAAUGGCAUAAAACUUUAUAUCUAGCCUCAUAAAAAUAUUUCUGACAUAUCCUCCAAUUUUCAUAAUUUUCUGAGACUAUACAUUUUCUGCUAAUUUAUCUGUCCCAUUUCCACAGAAAAUUCUAAAUCUUCUUUUUUCGCUCCGAUUUCAGCACAAGUCACUUCUGACUUAUGUUUUACUUAUCUAAAUCCAAUAAAAAUAGUAUCUCACACUUUUUUUUUAUUUUCACUUUUAUAUUUAAAAUCCGGUAUGUUACAUUCCACCGCAGCCUCACCGGAACCAUUUAAAUGUACACCGUAACUUCAUAGUUUUAGAAGUCCGGUACCUUACAUCCUCCCCUCCUUAAAAAGAGUUUCGUACUCGAAACUCAAAUAACUUCAACUCCAACUCACAGCCCCAACUCUAUUUAUCGAGUAACAACG